rnacentral:rRNA from 1 species
UACAGAGGGUGCAAGCGUUAAUCGGAAUUACUGGGCGUAAAGCGUGCGUAGACGGUUGCGUAAGUCAGAUGUGAAAGCCCCGGGCUCAACCUGGGAAUUGCAUUUGAGACUGCGUAGCUAGGGUGCGGAAGAGGGAAGCGGAAUUUCCGGUGUAGCGGUGAAAUGCGUAGAUAUGUGGAGGAAUACCGAUGGCGAAGGCAGCCCCCUGGGAUAACACUGACGCUCAUGCACGAAAGCGUGGGGAGCAAACAGG